rnacentral:rRNA from 1 species
GACGAACCGUGCGAACGUUGUUCGGAAUCACUGGGCUUAAAGGGCGCGUAGGCGGGCUCGCAAGUCCGGGGUGAAAGCCCCCAGCUCAACUGGGGAAGUGCCUUGGAUACUGCGGGCCUCGAGGGAGGUAGGGGCGUGCGGAACUUCCGGUGGAGCGGUGAAAUGCGUAGAUAUCGGAAGGAACACCGGUGGCGAAAGCGGCGCGCUGGACCUCUUCUGACGCUGAGGCGCGGAAAGCCAGGGGAGCAAAGCGGG